rnacentral:rRNA from 1 species
UACGGAGGGUGCAAGCGUUGUUCGGAAUCACUGGGCGUAAAGGGCGUGUAGGCGGCCCGCUAAGUCUGAUGUGAAAUCCCCUCGCUCAACGAGGGAACUGCGUCGGAAACUGGCGGACUCGAGUACCGGAGAGGAUGGUGGAAUUCCCGGUGUAGCGGUGAAAUGCGUAGAGAUCGGGGAGGAACAUCAGUGGCGAAGGCGGCCAUCUGGAUCAACACUGACGCUGAGGCACGAAAGCGUGGGGAGCAAACAGG